CAGGAAGUGGAUCAUGUCUCAGUGAGAGGGCGCCCUCUGUCGGAUCACAUGGCACAUAGCUCUAAACUCUCCAGGCUAACCUAUACUACCGUACUAAAUAGUAUGUCUCCUGAGUAGCACGCCGUCACUACUUAGUAGGGUAGUAUACGAGGACGAAGACAACCUUUGACAGCUGUGGAAGGUGCUGUGGAAAAAGUCCCCUCAGGCGAAUAAUUUCCGACAGAAGAGGACGUGUCGCGUGACACCACAAAGCAGGGUUGAAAUACCUUCUUCCUUUUUCUUUUCCUUCCCCCCAAAGGUCAAUUUGAGUCAUUGGGAGCUGGGGUAUUGCUGCUGCUGUUGUUGUGUUUUGAUAAAGCUAUAUUUAUGUUCUAUGUCCUGUCAAGUUGAUAAAGUUGCACUGUAUCAAUAGCUGAAAUGAAAUGAUUGAGAGGACAUUUUUAUUUUCUGUGGCUGGUGUGGUACCCUUAAGGGCAUGUUUUAGACCUUAAAGUGUAGUGUGUUAUAUACGUAGCUGUUUGUGAAUGUAAAAAGUCUGCCAAGUUUCAAAAAUCAAAGCGCACGACAAACCGAGUUAUCGACUCGUAAAAGAAGGAACCGAUUCUGAACAGCUGAAACGAUUCGUUAGUGAUUCCAGACUCACUUCCUGUACUCACCUACUUAGGUUUGUAACAAAAAGCCCCGCCUCUGGCGUUCAUCGGCUGCUCGCUGACAGCGGUAGACCAAUCGCAACAGACUGGGACGUCUGACCAAUCAGAGUAGAGUAUGCCCUCUGAAAGGAGGAGUUUAAAACGAAUCCUUUAGAACGGAUCAUUCAACGAGUCGUUUGUGACACUGGGGGAUAAAAAGGGUAAUGCUGCAGUUUAAAUUCUGAGCAAAUUAAAGUGUCUUUUGACCUCGGUUGCACGUAAAUCUAUUGUACGAGGCCUUUAAAACAAAAUUAGGCACGUUUCCAAACCAUAACAGGAGCGCUUAGGUAUGUACAGUAGCCUGUGUUUUAUCUGGGAGUGGUGCAUGUAGUGUAACUUAAUCGAUUCACCCCAAAAAUAUUGUAUUUAAAGUUGUAACGGUGGUCUGUAAGGUCCAAUUCAGUACCUUUUUAAUAAGAAGAUACAUACUAACGGUGCAAAAGGCUUAAUCUUUACUUCUGAGACUGAGGCAUCAGUUGGUACAUUGAGACUGAUGAAUUAGUUAUUAAAGUACCUGUUUUCAAUACUAGACAGUGUCAAGGCAAAAGUUGAAACUAUUGAACUCGUUUUACCAGAGACCAAAGAAUGGAAUUUGCGCCUGUUUUUGUGGUGCCCGUGUUCAGCAUUGAAUUUAUUUGAGAUGUCACACUCCACAGUAGUGGUUCAUGGCUCAGAUGAUAGUAGACACAGGGCUUUAAGAAUUUGCAGGUCUUUUAAAAAUGUGUUUUUCAUUAUUUUAUUAUUUUUUUAAAACCUAGCCUACUACAUUUAAAUGUUAUUGUUUAUUGUGGCAGUUGUGUACAGUGUUUCAGUAUAAAUAAAAGCUUUAGUUGUGUUGUCCAUUUUAUCAUCUCUAUACCAAUGUUAUUGUGGAGAGGUGUGAAUAGUUUGACCAGCAGGGGGCUCACACCCCUCCCCUUUUCCCAUAGCCCUGCUCACUAGCAGCUAGACCCAGAGUCACGAUACUCUACACACAGAAACCCAACAGCUGACUAAUUUGAUAAAUCCUGACUAAUUUUAUAACCGAGUGGCAACGAUAAAAUUAUUCCUUUGUGUAUACUGAUCGAAAAUGUCCGAUAAGUUGAUUUCCGUUCCGCCGGCGGCCUGGAAUGCCAACGUACUGCUGGAAAAAAGUGGCUAGUGAGUGAAUCUAAGCUGUCACUGUUGGGCCACUGGGUGGCUCCUGCUAGACCUGUAUCAGGCACAUCCCACUGGACAGAGACCCCGGGGAAACCCCCAGGACCCACUGGAGAGAUAUCUGACCGUUAACUUAGGAACAUCUGGGGAUCAUCCAGGAGGCUCUGGAGGAGUGUCUCAACAGGGUGAGAAGGUCAGCCCUGACUUCUCUAUCCUCAGCCUCUUGCUGUUGCAACCCGCACCAGAAAAAUAGAAGAAAAAUGAAUGAAUUAAUCUCUUUGCACAAACAUUCACCUAAAAGUAGCUGGCCGUUCUGCAUCCAAACUGAGCCAAAAAGUCACACUCUGAUUAACAAAUCAAAACAGAGACAUCCGAAAUAAAUAAAUAAAUAAAUAAAUAAAUAAAACACUUCAAAUAGCACAAUAAAAUUUGUUUUCGGUGACAAAAUCGGUUCCGAUUGAUCAGCACAACUGAUCUACUCUGCACUUCUACAUACAUGCAUUAAACGUACACCGAUUUCCAUCAGAUCGGGAAAAUAAACGUCUGAACGAAGAGCAGACAUUUCGGAGCACCAGUGCAAAACCGUUCUCAGCGUCCUGUUUUUAAAAAGUUAUCCGAAAGCUUUGUUUUAAACAGUGAAGAGUAUAAGCCCAAUGGCCUCUUUUAGUCGGCCAUGUUUAGUGACAAAAACAGUAGACUGUCUAGUGAAAAACCUAGACGUCUGGUUGCGUGACUAGAGCUAACUCUCUGGUCUCGGGACCUGCAGUAUAGCGAUCAUUUCAAUGCUUGCAAAAUAUAAGUGCUCGGAUGAAAGGUGCUCAUUUUUUGUGCUUCCUUUAAGAAGAUAAAUUAUUUGCUCUGUGGUUGGUCUUUGUAUCUUUGAGCCUCUGCUUACCAAUGCAAAGCACAGUCCCCUGCGUUUUGCAUGCGUGUCUUACGUAGUUUGCUGAGAUUUCUGUAGGAAACAGACUAACACUGAGUCAGUGUGCAUCUUGGUUGAUUUACUUAAGAUUGUCGAAGAGGAAACUAAAUCACACUCGCCUCGCAGAAUGACCGUCUGAUCCGUUUAAGGAUUCAGUAUUUCUGAUUAUUUUAGAUUAUAGAAGUGGCGCUGAAUGAAGGCUGACUGAAUAAAGCGAGUGAUUCAGUAGUGGAGGAAACUCAAGGCAGGAGCUGCACUUGCAUAUCAGUAACCCAGUGCUGACUCGCACUCCCGUCCCGUCAUCUAUAUCUCUCUCCCUUUGCUUCGGGUUUCAGGGUUAUUCAUAUCCGUCUGCCUCGCCCUCUGUCUGCUUCGCGCUUUCACUCACGGCCUGCCUCUCUCCGCCUCUUAUACGUCCCGUUCCCUCCCCCACUUUGUACGAUCUGCCCUUUUUACCACCACAGUUGCUCUGUUCAUUCCUCCUCCCCUUCUCCUCUUCCUUCCCUUCUCUCUCUUUCACUCAACAGGAGGUGCUUUCACUGAACGGGACACGAGAAAUGUAGCACAGUGGAAGUGCCAAGGAAAUCGGACCCGACGAAGCUUUCGAACGUGACUUCCAGACCGUCCUUUAACCCGGCGCAGGAAUCUCCCGGCAACUUCAGUCGGAGGAGGGCCUGCAUGUCCAAAUUCCUCCUUGUCAGUCUUUGGAGUCUUUGAUCCACUAGGGGGCAGCACCACCAUUUUGCAGCCAUUCAGCACACUGAGCUCUGGUGACCCGUGCCGACUUCCUCUCUCACCGACUCUCUCCUCCGUCUGGUCGCCUUCAGGCCCUGCUGGAGCCACGGGCAUCCUUCACCCUGAACGGGGAGCAGGAAGAGGGAUGUGGCCCUCACACCCAGGACCUCCGCCUCUCUCCUG